rnacentral:rRNA from 1 species
CUACGGGUGGCUGCAGUGGGGAAUAUUGCACAAUGGAGGAAACUCUGAUGCAGCAACGCCGCGUGGAGGAUGACACUUUUCGGAGCGUAAACUCCUUUUAUAUAGGAAGAAGAUGACGGUACUAUAUGAAUAAGCGCCGGCUAACUGCCGUGCCAGCAGCCGCGGUAAUACGGAGGGCGCAAGCGUUACUCGGAAUCACUGGGCGUAAAGAGCGUGUAGGCGGAUUAAAGAGUCAGAAGUGAAAUCCUAUAGCUUAACUAUAGAACUGCUUCUGAAACUCUUAAUCUAGAAUAUGGGAGAGGUAGAUGGAAUUUCUGGUGUAGGGGUAACAUCCGUAGAGAUCAGAAGGAAUACCGAUUGCGAAGGCGAUCUACUAGAACAUUAUUGACGCUGAGACGCGAAAGCGUGGGGAGCAAACAGGAUUAGAUACCCGUGUAGUC